GACGAACGCUGGCGGCGUGCUUAACACAUGCAAGUCGAACGGAAAGGCCCUGCUUUUGUGGGGUGCUCGAGUGGCGAACGGGUGAGUAACACGUGAGUAACCUGCCCUUGACUUUGGUAUAACUUCAGGAAACUGGGGCUAAUACCGGAUAGGAGCUCCUGCUGCAUGGUGGGGGUUGGAAAGUUUCGGCGGGUGGGGAUGGACUCGCGGCUUAUCAGCUUGUUGGUGGGGUAGUGGCUUACCAAGGCUUUGACGGGUAGCCGGCCUGAGAGGGUGACCGGCCACAUUGGGACUGAGAUACGGCCCAGACUCCUACGGGAGGCAGCAGUGGGGAAUAUUGCACAAUGGGCGGAAGCCUGAUGCAGCAACGCCGCGUGCGGGAUGACGGCCUUCGGGUUGUAAACCGCUUUCGCCUGUGACGAAGCGUGAGUGACGGUAAUGGGUAAAGAAGCACCGGCUAACUACGUG
rnacentral:rRNA from 1 species